CCGCGUGGGCGAGAGCGCGGCGGCCGAGCGAUGGGGCCGCUGGUGGUUCCGGCCCUGAGGCAGCGGCUUCCCAGGUUGAGACCAUUUCAAAGAUUACAGGUCAUCCUGCAACACUUAAAAAUGUCCACGUCUGCCGAUUCUUCAGCCGAAGUCCUGCUCGAGAGAAGAGGCUGUGCUGGUGUUAUAACCUUGAACAGGCCGAAGGCUCUGAAUGCGUUAAAUAUUUCCAUGAUUCGACAGAUAUAUCCCCAG